AUAUCAAUGAUAAUGCGAAUUUGGUCAAAGGAAAUUGAGUACAAACGUAAACUAAAUACAAGCAAGCUUAGAAAAUUUAAAAAAUUACAAGUUAGGCUCAAUCAAAACUUUAAAAGUAGAUCAUAAAUGUACUUAUUAGCUUACCUCUAUCUUGCCCAAAAAUGAUGAUACAUUGACUACUCUUGGUGAAUCAGAUAAUUGAAGGAGGGGAAGAAGGUAUUCAAAUGCUCUUUUUGCCCCAUAAUAAUUUAUUUGAAUGCAUUCUUUAGCUGACUCAUAUGUUUGUGUUACUGCCCUUCUCAAUUCUUCAUCAGGUAGUGCCUGCAAGAUGAGAACAACUCAAAAAUCAAAACCCUUCUAGAUACUCUUAAGACCAAUAAAAAUAUCCCCGUCCUAAAAACAAGACUAUUCAAUAUAAUAAACAUAUAAAAACUUCCAUUUUCAAAUUUCAGAAGACAUAUAGACUAGUACUUCUCAUAUAUCAUGUCAUUUUUAUGUAGCGAGGUGGUUUAUUCAUAGGAAAGGGAGAAAACCAAUGCUUUUACUUUGGCUUUGUGGGUUACAAUGAAUAUAUCAUGACAUUGUUGUUAAAAAAGAUAUAAAAAAAUAUCAUGACAUUUAUCUUGUGGAAUGAUGGUAAGGUGGCUACAAAACCGUUGGAUAUCCACUUGCAGUCAGAUCCAACGGUUUUGAAACUAUUGCAUCAGUUCAACCACUUGCAUUGGUGCCGCCACUAUAGAGAAUCCAUACUCCACCCAUAAACAUAUCAUCGUGGCUGCAAGACCAAAUAAAUUAAAACACCCAAUAUAUUUCAUGAUACUAAAGAUUCUCUUUCAGAAUUAGGUUGACGUUGAACAUUGUUUAUAAGAAUGUCAUAGUACUACAUAUAUAUGACCAGAAACAAUAAGAAUCUUCAUUGUACUAUUGUUAGUUAUCAAGGGAAAUAAUGCUUAAUGGGAAAUAUUGAAAUUUAGUGUUUUGGUUGGUAAAAAAUCUUAACACAAUUUCUAGUACAUAUGCAUGAUGGAAGUUCAAAUUGAAUAAAAAAAAAAAAAAAAAGUAAGCAAAUCGAUCAACAUCGAUUCAGUGUAGACGCAAUCAACUUUAAAACUUUUAUUACACAAUAUAGGUAAGUUUCAAAUUCGUAUAUACUAACCCCACUCGUCAUGAUUGCAGAAGUGAAUAAAUCACGGUCUUUAACUUCAACCCCGCUAAUCCCAGCAUUGUUAACCUACAUGAUACAAUCUUUAUUCAAGAAAUAUAUACAAACAACAUGUAUCAACUCUAACUAAGAAACUUAUAAUGACUUAAAAAAAAAUUAUCAAGCUGGUUAAAUGGAAACUAGUCUAAUUAGUACUAAAAUAAGUAUUAUCAACUCUAUGAAAUGCGACAUUUUUUUAAUUUCAAAAGAAUAUAUUAACACCUAGAAAAAGAACACAAACAAUCUUGGGAUAAAAGAAGGUAUUAUCAUGUCUCAUCCUCAACACUACCAUCCACAUCUCUCCGAGUGAAUAUCAGAAAAAACUCUAACUCAAACCUCAUGAAAGAAGGUAUUUUCCAUCAAAGUCAUGGGUGGUUUGGGAAUCGGGAGAGUACCCAAGGGUGCGGGUCCCUUUACCAUGCCUAAGGGAAUGAAUUGCAUAAAUGAACUACAAUAAAUAAAAAAGUGGAAUAGCACGAUGAACUCUCUGACUUGCAAUGGAACCUAAAGAAGAUUGAAAAAACUAUAGAACAAUAUUUUAAAUCAUGCAAAUGGAAAAUUUAAUGUAGCUGUAUUUGUUUUUGUUAAAUAUAAUAUCAAGUGAAUUUGUGUUUCACUUUAGUCUAAUGUGUAGAAAUUUCAAAAUGUGCUAUAUAUUUCUUCAGUUACUAGUGUAUCUAUUCAUUAAUGGGUUAAAUAUGUCUAUACAUCUCAUAAAUAUGUCUCCACACAAAAAAAAAAAAAAAAAAUCAAUUUUUAGGUGUGUGUUCACAUGGGAAAGGUUAAUCAUUUCCCACCAUGGGAAAGUUGGAUUCAAUGAUUAGAUUAAGUGAAGAACAUAUUCUUAACAUGUUCUCUCAACACUAGAUUUUUCUUCACACUAUCUUCCAACAAUUUAAAAAUUCUGAAAAUUAAUUUUCAGAAAUUAAAAAAAUCGAAAAAAUAUAAAAAAAUUCAGAUAAAUUUUUUUUUUUAAAUUUUGUAAUUCAUUAAUUGAAUGUUAGAAUUUUUUUUUUGAAAAAAAAAUUAUUUCAAUAAAAAUAAAAUUUUGGAAACUAAGACAAGUUUUUAUUUUUCUAAAAAGAAUAUAUUUUUUAAUUUCAUAAUAAAAUAAAUAUCCUAAAAAAAUAUUUUAAAAUUGAAGUUUUUUAUUUUUCUAAGAAAAUAAAAUUCUGGAAAAUAAGGUUUUUGAAAUAAAAUUCUGGAAUUUUUUUUUUCAUUUUUUCAAAAAAAAAUUCUAACAUUCAAUAAAUGAAUUACAGAAUUUUAAAAAAAAUUAUCUGAAUUUUUUUCGAUUUUUUAAAUUUUUAAAAAUUAAAUUUCAGAAUUUUUAAAUUAUUGGAAGAUAGUGUGAAGAAAAAUCUAGUGUUGAGAGAGCAUGUUAAGAAUAUGUUCUUCACUUCAUCUAAUCAUUGAAUCCAACUUUCCCAUGGUGGGAAAUGAUUAACCUUUCCCAUGUGAAAUGCCACCCAAUUUUUAAUCCUCAUAAUUUAUAAAAAUAAGAUACUUCUGUAAAACUAUUAGCACACUCUUGUAUAUAGUGUCAAGGUCGUUGUCUAACAUGCACAAAAUGAUCUUACACCAUGCAUGCGUACAUACAUGUCUUUUUCAUCAUUGGAUCAAAUAAUUACAAUAAAUUUUAUUUGAUUGAAUGGUGGUAUUUAUUGAUCUAACAAUGGAUACUAAUUUUAUGGUGCAUGACUUGUUUCAUUUAUGCACCAUAGAAUCCACCAAUAUAAAGACUAAAAAAGGUUAAAAAAUUUAGAUGGACUAAAAUCAAAAGAUUAUUUUUUUCACUAAAACAUAUUUAACACUUGAUUAAAGUUUCUUGUUACCAGAAUAUCAAGUUUGCCAAAAUGGGAUUUGACAAAAUCUGCAAGAGAUGCUACACUUGAAGCAUCAGCAACAUCUAGUUGAUGAAAUAAAACAAAAUCUGAAAGACCAGAAGCUUUGAGUGUUUCCAAAGCAUGAAGACCUCUUUUCUCAUCUCUUGCUGUCAGCACAACUUUGAUUCCAUCUGAAGCUAACUGCCUUACUAUCUCAAAUCCAAUUCCUUUGUUUGAUCCUGUCACCACUGCAUACCUGAGGAAGAGAGACACCAGGAUAAGAAAGAUCUAAAAUAUUAUAAAAAACAUUUUUUGGAUAUGAUAGAGAAAGUUUGAUCAUGCUACCUUUUUGUUGGUUCUCCCAUCUUUAGUUGGAACUUAUUGGCAAUGUUGCACUUGGGAAAUAUGAAGGUGCUGUUAAACAAAGAGAUAUUUUCUUUUCUUGGGAAUUCCUUCCCCACACAAAUUCUAAUUUUGCUUCCUUUUCUUAUCCUCCAUAGUCUACACGACAAGACAUCAUAUCAUUUUGAUUUGGUUUUCGGAUUUAUCUAUAUCUUGUUAGAUUAAUUUAAAGGUCUUGUUAACCGGUGUCUUUGAGACACUGGGAAAACUAAAGAAUAAAGUUUUAAAGUGAAAAUAAUAUUUUUUAUGCUUUUGAGAUGUUGACAGCACAAAUUCCAAUGCAACACUUACUACAUUUGAUUAAUAUCAGUGCCCCGGGAGCAAUGGUUAAGUAGAAUAUAGUCAAAUAAAAUUAUGUAGAAUUAAAUAAAUUUUUAUCCUUAUAAAUAUAGUCAAAUAUGAGCACAUACUUUUAGUCCUUGUAAAAUUCAAAUAUGUUUAGAUGUGCUUAAACCUUUAAACUUUUAAUGUUUUUUACAUACUUUUUUUAGAACAUUAUACAAAGUUCAUUUACAAAAAAAUUAGUUAAAACUUUGAUAUUUUGGUCCAAAUUUUUACUCCCUCCGUCCCAAAUUGUAUGUCACUUUAGAAAAAAUAUUUGUCCCAAAUUGUAUGUCACUUUAGAAUACCAAUGAAACAUUAAUGUUAUUUUUCAUAUUAUAUCAUUAACUAUUUAUUACUCUUUCUUUUUUCAAUUCUUUCAUUUAUUCUUUCAUUUAUCUUUCCCAUAUCAUUUAUUAAGGAUAAUUUUGUAAAACAACUCAUAAUAUCUCUUUCCCAUACAAUAUUAAUUACAUUUCUUAAUAUGUGUGAAAUGUCCAAAACGUCAUACAAUUUGGGACGGAGGGAAUAUUACUUUUAAUUUUGAAAUUUUGGUGUUUCAAAAAAUUCACAUUUAAUUCAUUGAAUGUUAAGAAUAUAUAUAUAUUUUUUUUAUAAAAGAGUUUCUUAUAAACUUCUUAACAUGUUUGUAAAAAGUCAUUUAAAAAUUUAGUAGUUUAAAUAUAAUUAAACAAAUUUUAAUUUAAGAAGGACUAAAAUUGUUUAUUGAAAUUUUUUAUUGAGAUCAAAACAUGUCUCUUUUUUAUUAUGAGUACUAAAAACAAAAUUCGCUAUAUUUAUUUGGAUUAAAAACUUAUUUAACCUUAUUAUAUAAUUUGCUUAAAGUCAAGGCAGACCUCAAUGCUCAACGAACACUAAUAAAAAUACUUACAAAUCCUUACGCUGACAAUGAGAGUUGAACUCACAUACUUGUAGAGUAUGAAUCAACUCCUUAUCAACUGAGUUAACUUUAUUGACAAGAAAUUAAAAACAUCAAUUGAUAUCAAGUUGAACUUUUAAAAUUUUGGUAUAUCAAAUAACUUAUACUCCCGUCAUAGUAAAAUAACUGAGUUUAUUUUUCAUAUUACACAUAUUAAGAAAAUAUAUAUAAGUGAAAAAGAGAGAUGAUUUUGAAUGCAUUGUCCAAUAUUGGUGCAUUCGUUAUCUAUCAUUGUCAAGUGUUGCUAAAAGUUUGUUAUUUGUUUGGAGGUUUCAAAUCAAUAAGAUUCCGACUAAAGAUUACUUGGCAUGAAGAAGAAGAAGAAUACUGAAUUCUAACGUUUUGUUAUUUCCAUGUGGUUGUGGUAAAGAGUCGAAUAAUCAUCACUUAUUCUUUAAUUCCGAUUUUUUUUGGUCAAAUUUGGUAUAGUCUUUUUAAUUGUGUUCACUCAAAAAAUAUCUAUUUGCUUGCUCUCCAAUAUUGUUGUCCUCAUUUGUUUAACAAUGAUGUCCAAUUUUGUUUUCAAGUGAUUUAGAUGGCUUGUAUUUGGAUUAUAUGGAAAGAGGAAAAUUUUAUUGUUGUUAUUAAUGUUUUGUCUUGCUUUUUCGUUUAUGACUUUUUGUAUUAUAUUCUUUUGCCACAUCUUGUGCUUGAUUUGCGUGACUGUCCACAUUAAUUCGAGAGUGUUAUGGAUGCAGUUGGGUCUUUCCUCGUGUGCUGGCCUUCCUUGUCUCAAAUGACUUUUAUAACUAACUUUGAUAUAUAUGCUUCAACAGAUUGUUGAGUUGUUAGAUCAAGAUUGGAUAGUUCGUCAGUGUACCUACUUCUUGGCCAAUGCGGAUUCACAUACAACAGAUGCCUUUUGUUGUAGGUUCGGGGUUAAGAUCCUUGCUCCAUUUGGAUUCUUUAGGAGCUCCGGCCUGAGAUUUUGCUUUAUUUUUUUCCUUUCUUUCUGUUGUUUUGGUGGGCGUCGGCCUUAAUUUCAACAAAAAAGACGGUCGUGAUUAACAAGCAAUGAAGUUUAUUUAUAAUCCAUAAAACCGUAUGAUGAGUCUUGUUAACGAGUAUCCUCGGGGCACUCUUUAAGUAUACUAAAUUAAGUAAUUAUUCUUUAAAAAUGUAAAAGUUUUCAAUUUCCAAUGCACUGAUUACACAAAUUUUUAUAAAAAGUUACUAUUUAAGAUCCUUAACCAGUGCCCCGUGGACACUAGUUAACAUUUCCCUAUAAAUAACAUGAAUAGUUCACGCCAACAAGCUUUCUAAUGACAUUGUUUACGGAAUUCAAAAAAAUAAAAAAAAAUGUCUUGGAAAAAUAAGUCAAACAUUUGAUCGAGUAUUAAACCGAUCACUUUCUAUACUAAAGUUCCCUAUUUAUAUUGCUUAAACAUUGUCGUAAGGAUACUUAUUAGCAUUCUCCAUAUAAAAUCAAUCAAAAUGGAUAGACUUCAUUCCGGAUAUAGUAAACGCCGGAUGGACUACCAUUGGGAAGCAGUGCUAACCUAACAGGAUGAGCAGCACCUUCUUCCACUGUGAAGAAACCGGUAUUAGCAGUUAUAUCGGUUUUGACAUAACCAGGGCAAACACAAUUGAUGCAGAAGUUAGGAUACUUCUUUGCAGUAAUUCUUGUGUAAGCAUUCAUAGAAGCUUUAGCAACAGUAUAGGCAGCCAAAUAUCUAGGCCAACCUUUUCUUUCUAAGGACCCUUCUUCAAAAUCUUUGAUAAACUCCUUUAUCACUUCAUCUAUUCUCUCUUCUGUAAGAUUUUCAACAUCACUGAAGACUCCUUUAGCCCAUUCAUUCGAUACAAACUAAUUUGACAUCGAUAAUCAAUAUUAGAGAUAACGAAAAUUUAGUUCAAAGGAGAUUGAAGUAAAAAACAUAGCAAAAAGUAUACUAUAAAAGUUCAAUAUAUAGUUAAGAACAUCAAUAUAUAGCAAAAAGUACCUCUAUCUUGCCCAAUCCUGAUGAUACAUUGACUACUUUUGGUGAAUCAGAUAAUUGAAGGAGGGGAAGAAGGUAUUCAAAUGUUCUUUUAGCUCCAUAAUAAUUUAUUUCUAUGCAUUCUUUAGCUGACUCAAAUGUAUAUGUCAUUGUCCUUCUCAAUUCCUCAUCAGAUUGUGCCUGCAAGUUAAGAACAUCGAUGUUGUUAUUUUCGGAUUUGUCAUUUGAGGGUUAAUCCAAUGGAAUGUAUCAUGACAUUUUUAUUUUUUUAAUAGAAACGAAAAGGAUCUAAGUCCUCUACAAAACCGUUAGAUUCCCCCACUUGAACUCGGAUCCAACGGUUCUGCAAUCGUUGCACUGGUGCAACCACUGCAUGGGUGCUGCCUCUACAAAGAAUUCAUACCCAAACAAUAAAUAUAUCGCCUUAGGCUGCAAGACCGGAGAAAUUAGGAUAGGAGGAUAUUAACAAAAUCCCA
rnacentral:lncRNA from 1 species